ACAAAGAUUACCAAGCGUGGGUUCAGGCUGAGGGAUGAGGUGUGUGACUUUUCAGACUCGAAUUCUUUGGACUGACCAUCAGCUCACUAAAGAUGUUACCCCAGUCAAGUUUGCCCUAAUUACUUGAUUAUAGUCAGAUCUGAAAUCGGGGUGCGCGAGAUGCUGGGUGCUUUCAUGGUUCUAUCACUGACACAGCAGUCACUGAGAGUAGCACCUGGUACAGAACAAGACCAAGGCCACAUCAACCAUUGUCACCUGUCUCUGGAAUUCUUACAGUCACUGUGACUCCUCCAGUGUAUGUAUGAUUGUAAAGCUCUCAGCCUAGGUGACAUCUGCCAACAUCCCACAACCUCUUCUCUUCCUUUUCUGGAUGUAUGAAGUCCAGGAUGCCAGGUCCAAACUUGAGC